ensembl:snoRNA
GCUGCCCCAAAGGGUUACAGAUGUGGCUGUCGGGUUGCAUUUGUGUCAUCAGGUGGCAGAGAGAAGAGAGGCUGUGUUAGGCGAGCACAGCAGGACCCAGGAAUGUUUGAAUGAUUAAUAGUCAGACAUA